rnacentral:rRNA from 1 species
GAUGAACGCUGGCGGCGUGCCUAAUACAUGCAAGUCGAGCGAACGGACGAGAAGCUUGCUUCUCUGAUGUUAGCGGCGGACGGGUGAGUAACACGUGGAUAACCUACCUAUAAGACUGGGAUAACUUCGGGAAACCGGAGCUAAUACCGGAUAAUAUUUUGAACCGCAUGGUUCAAAAGUGAAAGACGGUCUUGCUGUCACUUAUAGAUGGAUCCGCGCUGCAUUAGCUAGUUGGUAAGGUAACGGCUUACCAAGGCAACGAUGCAUAGCCGACCUGAGAGGGUGACCGGCCACACUGGAACUGAGACACGGUCCAGACCCCUACGGGAGGCAGCAGUGGGGAAUUUUCGACAAUGGGCGAAGCCUGACGGAGCAACGCCGCGUGAGUGAUGAAGGUCUUCGGAUCGUAAAACUCUGUUAUUAGGGAAGAACAUAUGUGUAAGUAACUGUGCACAUCUUGACGGUACCUAAUCAGAAAGCCACGGCUAACUACGUG